GUAGGUGGCAAGCGUUGUCCGGAAUUAUUGGGGCGUAAAGCGCGCGCAGGCGGUUCUUUAAGUCUGAUGUGAAAGCCCACGGGCUCAACCGUGGAGGGUCAUUGGAAACUGGAGAACUUGAGUACAGAAGAGGAAAGCGGAAUUCCACGUGUAGCGGUGAAAUGCGUAGAGAUGUGGAGGAACACCAGUGGCGAAGGCGGCUCUCUGGUCUGUAACUGACGCUGAGGCGCGAAAGCGUGGGGAGCAAACAGGAUUAGAUACCCUGGUAGUCCACGCCGUAAACGAUGAGUGCUAAGUGUUAGGGGGUUUCCGCCCCCUUAGUGCUGCAGCUAACGCAUUAAGCACUCCGCCUGGGGAGUACGGCCGCAAGGCUG
rnacentral:rRNA from 1 species